rnacentral:rRNA from 1 species
UACGGAGGGUGCAAGCGUCAAUCGGAAUUACUGGGCGUAAAGCGCACGCAGGUGGUCUGUUAAGUCAGAUGUGAAAUCCCCGGGCUCAACCUGGGAACUACAUUUGAAAUUGGCAGGCUUGAGUCUUGUAGAGGGGGGUAGAAUUCCAGGUGUAGCGGUGAAAUGCGUAGAGAUCUGGAGGAAUACCGGUGGCGAAGGCGGCCCCCUGGACAAAGACUGACGCUCAGGUGCGAAAGCGUGGGGAGCAAACAGG